UGGCUGUCGUCAGCUCGUGUUGUGAGAUGUUGGGUUAAGUCCCGCAACGAGCGCAACCCUUACCCUUAGUUGCCAGCGAGUAAUGUCGGGGACUCUAGGGGAACUGCCCAGAACAACUGAGAGGAAGGUGAGGACGACGUCAAGUCAUCAUGGCCCUUAUGUCCAGGGCUACACACGUGCUACAAUGGUCGGUACAAAGGGCAGCGAAACUGCGAAGUCAAGCGAAUCCCAUAAAACCGAUCUCAGUUCGGAUUGAAGUCUGCAACUCGACUUCAUGAAGGUGGAAUCGCUAGUAAUCGUAGAUCAGCACGCUACGGUGAAUACGUUCCCGGGCCUUGUACACACCGCCCGUGGGGCGGGGCGGCGGGCCGGGCGCGGCCGGGA
rnacentral:rRNA from 1 species